rnacentral:rRNA from 1 species
AGUGAACGCUGGCGGUAGGCCUAACACAUGCAAGUCGAACGGCAGCACAGUAAGAGCUUGCUCUUACGGGUGGCGAGUGGCGGACGGGUGAGGAAUACAUCGGCAUCUACUUUUUCGUGGGGGAUAACGUAGGGAAACUUACGCUAAUACCGCAUACAACCUACGGGUGAAAGCAGGGGAUCUUCGGACCUUGCGCGAUUGAAUGAGCCGAUGUCGGAUUAGCUAGUUGGCGGGGUAAAGGCCCACCAAGGCGACGAUCCGUAGCUGGUCUGAGAGGAUGAUCAGCCACACUGGAACUGAGACACGGUCCAGACUCCUACGGGAGGCAGCAGUGGGGAAUAUUGGACAAUGGGCGCAAGCCUGAUCCAGCCAUACCGCGUGGGUGAAGAAGGUCUUCGGGUUGUAAAGCCCUUUUGUUGGGAAAGAAAAGAAGCAGGUUAAUACCCCGCUGUUCUGACGGUACCCAAAGAAUAAGCACCGGCUAACUUCGUG